rnacentral:rRNA from 1 species
GACGAACGCUGGCGGCGUGCUUAACACAUGCAAGUCGAACGAUGAAGCCGGAGCUUGCUCUGGUGAAUUAGUGGCGAACGGGUGAGUAACACGUGAGUAACCUGCCCUUGACUCUGGGAUAACUGCGGGAAACUGUAGCUAAUACCGGAUACGACCCUCGGAGGCAUCUCCUGGGGGUGGAAAGAAUUUCGGUCAAGGAUGGACUCGCGGCCGAUCAGCUAGUUGGUGGGGUAAAGGCUUACCAAGGCGACGACGGGUAGCCGGCCUGAGAGGGUGACCGGCCACACUGGGACUGAGACACGGCCCAGACUCCUACGGGAGGCAGCAGUGGGGAAUAUUGCACAAUGGGCGCAAGCCUGAUGCAGCAACGCCGCGUGAGGGAUGACGGCCUUCGGGUUGUAAACCUCUUUUAGCAGGGAAGAAGCGAAAGUGACGGUACCUGCAGAAAAAGCACCGGCUAACUACGUGCCAGCAGCCGCCGUAA